rnacentral:lncRNA from 1 species
GUCAGGAGUCACAUCGAACAACUGGCUACAAACAAGAAAUCAAAACCCAAAGGCAAAGGAAACACCCACUGGCCAGUGCCCACCUCCUCGGAUUUUUCUGUUGUAGUAGAGAUGUACAUACAUUUUAUGAAGGCCUCAUUGCUCUACUAAUAAUAACGUGGCAAUUUGAAUCUGCAAGUCAUCAAAUUCCUCGUCAAGUUUUGAAGUGCUUAAAAAACACGGAGCAACUCUGUCUAGUUUGUUGCUGUACACUUGGUAUCUUUCACUGCUAUCUACUAGCAGUAUAUUAUACUACUUCCUCGCUACUGCGCAAAGAAAAGAUUACACAGAAGAAGAACCUACAGACAGACUCCUUUAAUUCUCUCCCGCUGGUGAAGCCGUUUCUGGGGAUACAAUGUCGCAGGAAUUUCAAGCUAUUACCAUUUACCAGGUUAGUUUGACAUUCCAUUUAUUUAGUGAAAUGUGGGUGUAAAAAGUUCGCCCGCCAGUUGUUUGAUGAAUUGCUCGAGAGGGACUUGUAUUGUUUUUCGUACUUGGACUUCUGAAUUCGAGUGAUAAGCAUUUAUUUUAGUUGAUUC